rnacentral:rRNA from 1 species
GGCUAACUCUGGGCCGGCAGCGGCGGUAAUACAGGGGGGGGAAGCGUUAAUCGGAUUUACUGGGCGUAAAGCGUGUGUAGGUGGUUGGGAAAGUCAAUUGUGAAAGCCCCGGGCUUAACUCGGGAACUGCUUUUGAUACUGUCUGACUAGAAUUCGGUAGAGGGAGGCGGAACUCCAGGUGUAGCGGUGAAAUGCGUAGAUAUCUGGAAGAACACCAAUGGCGAAGGCAACCUCCUGGGCCUGAAUUGACACUGAGACACGAAAGCGUGGGGAUCAAACAGGAUUAGAUACCUGGUAGUC